CAGCGCAUUGGUUGCUAGAAGCCAAGGGCGGUAGCGUG
rfam:Brenneria sp. EniD312 chromosome, whole genome shotgun sequence.